rnacentral:lncRNA from 13 species
UGUAAUUAGUUUCCAAUUCUGUUCCAAGACAUGAAGGAAAAUUGACUUCCCCUUCCCAAGCCGUCACCAAACCAAAGCAUAAAAUAAAGUGCUGUGGCUUUGAACGUGGAGUUGAGUGUUUCCACCGUAUUCUUCAGUGAGAGUUCAUGAGGGCACAGACCACUAACAAGCAGCGGAGGCAGCUUCUAGGCUAAGCUUAAAUUGGGCCUUCAAAUCUAAUCAAAAUUAGUCCCUGCUGAGAAGAAACCCAAUGUGGUGUGUCCGUUUGGAUCUGGAGUGCGGAGAGGCCCUCCUUGCUUUCCAGGGCCGUGAGCAGCAGGAAGCAUGUCAACCAUGGUAAACCAGAGGAUCGAGAAAUCAAAGAUUCCAGUCACUUGCCUGGAGUUUGAGAUCUGUGAUGCUCUGGCACUCCACACCUUCCCAGUGGCUGCAAUUACACACAUCAAGUUUCAGAAUGAACGACAAGUCUACAGACCAGUGCCAAGGAGCCGAAGAGAAGAAAUGAGAAUAACCAAGGUAUGCUGUGUCCAAUUAUUUAUUAGCAAACAAAGGUCCAAACAAUGUGACUGUAAGCUUUGUGAGAACAGGGAGUUUGUAUCUUUUCACCUGUGUAUCGGCAGUACCUAGUACCAGACCUGGCGCAUAAUAGACAAUGCAUAUUUGUGGAACAGAUGAAUGAAUGAACAAUUAAAAAAUACAUUGGACUAUAUUCUAGUUUGCAUUUUCUUGAGUGACAGAGAGAGUAAUAGACUUUUAGUGACCUGGGAAUGCCCACAGGGACGUAUCUCCAGAAGAAACUCGUUGUCUUGCAUGUUGCGUUGGAAGUAACACACAUGAGCAGAGACAUGGUUUCAUAUUUCUAGCCAGAAUUCUUAAAAACCCUGCGAUCUGUCUUCUGCUCCUAUGUGUCUAGUCCUGCCUGCUCCUCUCUUUUGUCAAAAUAAUUUGGUCAAAAGGGAGAAAAAAAUGGAAACUUUUUGAGUCCCAAGAUCCUUAAUUUGCACUUGCAAAUAACGUGCAUGCUAAAUUAAACCUGGCAAUUUAGAGAAUUAAAUAUUUUACUUAUCUCUUUUUUCUUUUUUUUAUAGGUUUAAGGAACCUAUUUAAAAAAACCCUAUAAACCCUAUGCAGUCUCUGGAUAAAAAGUGUACUACUAUAGGAAAUGAAAUUAAUAAACAUGUUAUUAACAGCA